rnacentral:lncRNA from 1 species
GCCCCUCGCCUCUCCACCCGCGCCGCCGCCGUCCCCACUGCGCGCCGUCGUCCCUCGUUCCCCACCGUGCCGCCGCCCCUCGCCUCCCCACCACGCCGCCGCCCCUCGCCUCUCCACCGCGCCGUCUCCGCGCCUCCGUGCCGCUACAUCACCGUCGCCCGGAGUUGCCAGGGUCGUCGUCCUCCGAUCUCCUUCACCCGCGCCGAUCUCUCCCGUCCGCGUCGCCAGGCCACGCCACCGAUCUCCUCCGUGCCACCGCUGGAACACCCACGCCCGCGCUGCCGACGACGAACAACACAUACACAUUUCAUCGAGCACGUCUUGAGUGUUCUAGAUUUCUUGAGUGCUCUAUAUUGUGGUCAGAUCAACAAGGCUAGGUAUUCCGAGCGCCACAGUCAGUCCUACAAGAUCAGCGUCGGCAGUCCUCUCUGCCCUGGUACACCCACGCCCGCGCUGCCGACGACGAACAAGUAA